GAUCCUGGAGUGUUAGCAUGUGUAGUUGCAGCCUACAAGAAACAGGUUAUGUCCUGUCGGGGUCU
rnacentral:tRNA from 1 species